rnacentral:rRNA from 1 species
AUUGAACGCUGGCGGCAUGCUUUACACAUGCAAGUCGAACGGUAACAGGCCUUCGGGUGCUGACGAGUGGCGAACGGGUGAGUAAUGCAUCGGAACGUACCCAGAGGUGGGGGAUAACGCAGCGAAAGCUGUGCUAAUACCGCAUGUGAUCUGAGGAUGAAAGCGGGGGACCGAGCAGCAAUGUUUGGCCUCGCGCCUUUGGAGCGGCCGAUGUCGGAUUAGCUAGUUGGUGGGGUAAAGGCCUACCAAGGCGACGAUCCGUAGCUGGUCUGAGAGGACGACCAGCCACACUGGGACUGAGACACGGCCCAGACUCCUACGGGAGGCAGCAGUGGGGAAUUUUGGACAAUGGGCGCAAGCCUGAUCCAGCAAUGCCGCGUGCGGGAAGAAGGCCUUCGGGUUGUAAACCGCUUUUGGCAGGAACGAAACGGUGUCCGCUAAUACCGGGCGCUAAUGACGGUACCUGCAGAAUAAGCACCGGCUAACUAUGUG